rnacentral:rRNA from 1 species
AAAAAGAGACCGCAUAGCGGCAGGCCUAAUACAUGCAAGUCGAGGGGCAGCAUUCACUUCGGUGAGAUGGCGACCGGCGCACGGGUGCGUAACGCGUGUGCAACCUACCUUGUACAGGGGGAUAGCCCGGAGAAAUUCGGAUUAAUACCCCGCGGUAUUAUGAUACGGCAUCGUAUAAUGAUUAAAGAUUUAUCGGUACAAGAUGGGCAUGCGUGACAUUAGCUAGUUGGUACGGUAAUGGCGUACCAAGGCGAUGAUGUCUAGGGGUUCUGAGAGGAUGAUCCCCCACACUGGUACUGAGAUACGGACCAGACUCCUACGGGAGGCAGCAGUAGGGAAUAUUGGUCAAUGGGCGGAAGCCUGAACCAGCCAUGCCGCGUGCAGGAAGACGGCCUUCUGGGCUGUAAACUGCUUUUACCAGGGAACAAAUAGGCCAUGCGUGGCAAGUUGAGUGUACCUGGGGAAUAAGCACCGGCUAACUCCGUGCCAGCAGCCGCGGUAAUACGGAGGGUGCAAGCGUUGUCCGGAUUUAUUGGGUUUAAAGGGUGCGUAGGCGGUUUAUUAAGUCAGUGGUGAAAGCCCCCAGCUCAACUGGGGAACUGCCAUUGAAACUGGUAGACUUGAGUACAGACGAGGUAGGCGGAAUUUAUGGUGUAGCGGUGGAAUGCAUAGAUACCAUAGAGAACCCCGAUAGCGAAGGCAGCUUACUAGACUGUAACUGACGCUGAGGCACGAAAGCGUGGGGAGCGAACAGGAUUAGAUACCCUGGUAGUCCACGCAGUAAACGAUGAUGACUCGAUGUGUGCGAUAUAUUGUACGCGUCUUAGCGAAAGCGUUAAGUCAUCCACCUGGGGGAGUACGCUCGCAAGAGUG